CUCACUCGCUCCAGUCAGCGUCUGGUCUCGUUUGUACAUAGACUUACCUCUGUGCUUACCUUAAGGACUCCAGUAUACUUACCAUCUCAGCUCCAGCGUGUUCCAAGUCUCCUCCAGUGUUCCUGUCUUUGUUUCAUAAGUUCAGUUCAACUGGCUAAGAUCUCAAAGCUGCUUAUGGCUAUGGAGAAGGGAAGUGUGAAGGAUAUUCAAGGAAAAUCUUUGGAUGAAAUUGAUGACAUAGACGAUAUGGAUACCGGAUCACAGCAACUCCCUAAUGUUUCCACAUUGCAAGAAAUGUUGGCUUCUGUGACUUUUGGAUCGCCUCACCUCUCUGAGUCUGCAGCUCAAGGUAUGAUCUCAAUGAUGGACCCGAAGUUUGCCCAACAUAUCUCAUGUAAUGAGCUGGGAUCUGUGGGUUCAUUAGAGUGUAUUAAAAAUGUUUUAGUCAGGAAUUUUCCAGUAGUACGAUGGUUAGAAACUUUGUUAGAAGCUUAACUUUGUGUCAUCUCUCUUCAUUGUGACUAGGGAUGGAACGGUAUGAAAAUUUCAUAUCACGAUUAUAGUGACCCAAAUUAUCACGGUUAUCAAUAUUAUUAUGGUUUUGUUAAAAUGAGAUGAAAGUGUUCAAAAAGAACAGAUGCACACACUGAAAACAUUUCAACAACUUUUAUAUUUCAAAAUAAACAAACGACA